rnacentral:rRNA from 1 species
AGAUUGAACGCUGGCGGCAGGCCUAACACAUGCAAGUCGAGCGGCAGCACGGGUACUUGUACCUGGUGGCGAGCGGCGGACGGGUGAGUAAUGCCUAGGAAUCUGCCUGGUAGUGGGGGAUAACGCUCGGAAACGGACGCUAAUACCGCAUACGUCCUACGGGAGAAAGCAGGGGACCUUCGGGCCUUGCGCUAUCAGAUGAGCCUAGGUCGGAUUAGCUAGUUGGUGAGGUAAUGGCUCACCAAGGCGACGAUCCGUAACUGGUCUGAGAGGAUGAUCAGUCACACUGGAACUGAGACACGGUCCAGACUCCUACGGGAGGCAGCAGUGGGGAAUAUUGGACAAUGGGCGAAAGCCUGAUCCAGCCAUGCCGCGUGUGUGAAGAAGGUCUUCGGAUUGUAAAAGCACUUUAAGUUGGAGGAAGGCAGUUACCUAAUACGUAUCUGUUUGACGUUACCGACAGAAUAAGCACGGCUAACUCUAGUG